AUUGAACGCUGGCGGCAGGCCUAACACAUGCAAGUCGAGCGAGCGGCGGACGGGUGAGUAAUGUCUGGGAAACUGCCUGAUGGAGGGGGAUAACCACUGGAAACGGUAGAUAACACCGCAUACCAUGAGAUGUGCCCAGAUGGGAUUAGCUAGUAGGUGGGGUAACGGCUCACCUAGGCGACGAUCCCUAGCUGGUCUGAGAGGAGGACCAGCCACACUGGAACUGAGACACGGUCCAGACUCCUACGGGAGGCAGCAGUGGGAAAUAUUGCACAAGGGGCGCAAGCCGGAUGUAGCCAUGCCGCGUGUAUGAAGAAGGCCUUCGGGUUGUAAAGUACUUUCAGCGGGGAGGCGUUACCCGCAGAAGAAGCACCGGCUAACUCCGUGCCAGCCGCCGCGGUAAUAC
rnacentral:rRNA from 1 species